CACACACUGGCUGUCGAUAUUACAAGAGUCUGAGGGAAGAGUCCUACUGAGAUAUUGGUAAAUACAAAUCCUGCAAGAAACCACCAUCACACACUGGCUGUCUAUAUACAAGAGUCUGAAGGAAGAUCCUACUGAGAUAUUGGUAAAUACAAAUCCUGCAAGAAACCAUCAUCACACACUGGCUGUCUAUAUUACAAGAGUCUGAGGGAAGAGUGCUACUGAGAUAUUGGUAAAUACAAAUCCUGCAAGAAACCACAAUCACACACUGGCUGUCUAUAUUACAAGAGUCUGAAAGGAAGAGUCCUACUGAGAUAUGGGUAAUACAAAUCCUGCAAGAAACCACCAUCACACACUGGCUGUCUAUAUUACAAGAGUCGAGGGAAGAGUCCUACUGAGAUAUUGGUAAAUACAAAUCCUGCAAGAAACCACCAUCACACAGUGGCUGUCUAUAUUACAAGAGUCUGAAGGAAGAGUCCUACUGAGAUAUUGGUAAAUACAAAUCCUGCAAGAAACCACCAUCACACACUGGCUGUCUAUAUUACAAGAGUCUGAGGGAAGAGUCUACUGAGAUAUUGGUAAAUACAAAUCCUGCAAG
rnacentral:lncRNA from 1 species